GCGCAAUAAACAGAGAAUUUUAUAGCUUUACAAUAUAAAAAAUUAUAAAAUAAAAAAUAAUUCAUUAAAUCAAGUUAACAGACUAACAAAAUAAAUAAUUGAAACAAUUGAUUAUUCAAUUAACAAGUUGACAAAAAGGAAAAACUUUGAUUUCUUUACAAUUGUCAGAAGUUAAUUUUUAUUAAUUAUUUUAUAAUAAGACAAUAUAAUUUAAAUAAAUAAAAUAAAUGAUUUUGAUAUAUUUUAUAUAGUUAUUUAAUAUAUGUAAUUUGAUUUUGAUAUGUUUAUAUAUUUAUAUCAGAAGAAAAAUAAAGACAUUGUGUAGUUAUAAUGGCAAUAGUUUUCAAAAUGCAUCAGUAGGUUUAAGGUUCAAGUUCUAUCCCCAACAAGGUUUAGAU
rnacentral:misc_RNA from 1 species